rnacentral:rRNA from 1 species
UACGAAGGGGGCUAGCGUUGUUCGGAAUUACUGGGCGUAAAGCGUGCGCAGGCGGCUUCUCAAGUCAGGGGUGAAAGCCCAGAGCUCAACUCUGGAAUUGCCUUUGAGACUGAGUGGCUUGAGUACGAGAGAGGUGAGUGGAAUUCCCAGUGUAGAGGUGAAAUUCGUAGAUAUUGGGAAGAACACCAGUGGCGAAGGCGGCUAUCUGGACGGUUACUGACGCUGAGGCGCGAAAGCGUGGGGAGCAAACAGG